ensembl:lincRNA
UUUCACAUAUUAACUACUACUUAUGACUCUGUAUCAAAUUUAAUUAGUUUCAGUGUUGUGGCCAAGAAUACUUGCCAAUUAACAGAAGGAAACAUGGGAUCACCAGGUCCCCAGAGCUCAUCAGAAGAGUGACACUCAUGUGUCCUUAGUGAAGAUGCAGCAGGCUCUCAGGUAUUUCAGAAACAAGACUGCACACAUGGUCCACACUGGGAGUCUAAUCUAGCUGUGUUUAAUUUCAGGCUCAGGUCAAAAGACAGGAAUUACUGUGAUUGGAAAUUACCAUGGAAGAGAGCGCCGGACCAUGCUAACUUAAUAACAAC